GACGAACGCUGGCGGCGCGCUUAACACAUGCAAGUCGAACGGAAAGGCCCUGCUUUUGUGGGGUGCUCGAGUGGCGAACGGGUGAGUAACACGUGAGUAACCUGCCCUUGACUUUGGGAUAACUUCAGGAAACUGGGGCUAAUACCGGAUAGGAGCUCCUGCUGCAUGGUGGGGGUUGGAAAGUUUCGGCGGUUGGGGAUGGACUCGCGGCUUAUCAGCUUGUUGGUGGGGUAGUGGCUUACCAAGGCUUUGACGGGUAGCCGGCCUGAGAGGGUGACCGGCCACAUUGGGACUGAGAUACGGCCCAGACUCCUACGGGAGGCAGCAGUGGGGAAUAUUGCACAAUGGGCGGAAGCCUGAUGCAGCAACGCCGCGUGCGGGAUGACGGCCUUCGGGUUGUAAACCGCUUUCGCCUGUGACGAAGCGUGAGUGACGGUAAUGGGUAAAGAAGCACCGGCUAACUACGUGCCAGCAGCCGCGGUGAUACGUAGGGUGCGAGCGUUGUCCGGAUUUAUUGGGCGUAAAGGGCUCGUAGGUGGUUGAUCGCGUCGGAAGUGUAAUCUUGGGGCUUAACCCUGAGCGUGCUUUCGAUACGGGUUGACUUGAGGAAGGUAGGGGAGAAUGGAAUUCCUGGUGGAGCGGUGGAAUGCGCAGAUAUCAGGAGGAACACCAGUGGCGAAGGCGGUUCUCUGGGCCUUUCCUGACGCUGAGGAGCGAAAGCGUGGGGAGCGAACAGGCUUAGAUACCCUGGUAGUCCACGCUGUAAACGGUGGGUACUAGGUGUGGGGUCCAUUCCACGGGUUCCGUGCCGUAGCUAACGCUUUAAGUACCCCGCCUGGGGAGUACGGCCGCAAGGCUAAAACUCAAAGGAAUUGACGGGGCCCCGCACAAGCGGCGGAGCAUGCGGAUUAAUUCGAUGCAACGCGUAGAACCUUACCUGGGUUUGACAUGGAUCGGGAGUGCUCAGAGAUGGGUGUGCCUCUUUUGGGGUCGGUUCACAGGUGGUGCAUGCCUGUCGUCAGCUCGUGUCGUGAGAUGUUGGGUUAAGUCCCGCAACGAGCGCAACCCUUGUUCACUGUUGCCAGCACGUUAUGGUGGGGACUCAGUGGAGACCGCCGGGGUCAACUCGGAGGAAGGUGGGGAUGACGUCAAGUCCUCAUGCCCCUUAUGUCCAGGGCUUCACGCAUGCUACAAUGGCUGGUACAGAGAGUGGCGAGCCUGUGAGGGUGAGCGAAUCUCGGAAAGCCGGUCUCAGUUCGGAUUGGGGUCUGCAACUCGACCUCAUGAAGUCGGAGUCGCUAGUAAUCGCAGAUCAGCAACGCUGCGGUGAAUACGUUCCCGGGGC
rnacentral:rRNA from 1 species